rnacentral:rRNA from 1 species
GACGAACGCUGGCGGCGUGCUUAAAAACAUGCAAGUCGAACGGACUUCUCAUGAAGCUUGCGAUUGAGAAGUUAGUGGCGGACUGGUGAGUAACGCGUGGGUAAUCUAUCGUAGGCAUGGGGGAUAGUCACUAGAAAUAGUGGGUAAUACCGAAUACGUUCCAUGAGGGGAGUACUUAUGGAAGAAAGGGUGCUACGGCACUGGCCUUAGGUGAGCUCGCGUCCCAUUAGCUGGUUGGUGAGGUAAAGGCCCACCAAGGCGAUGAUGGGUAGCCGGCCUGAGAGGGUGUACGGCCACACUGGGACUGAGAUACGGCCCAGACUCCUACGGGAGGCAGCAGCUAAGAAUAUUCCGCAAUGGGCGAAAGCCUGACGGAGCGACGCCGCGUGGGUGAAGAAGGCCUUAGGGUUGUAAAGCCCUGUCAAGUGGGACGAGAUAGGACGGUACCACUAGAGGAAGCCCCGGUAACUACGUGCCAGCAGCCCGACGGUAAACCGAGAGUA